rnacentral:rRNA from 1 species
CAAUAGCGUAUAUUAAAGUUGUUGCAGUUAAAAAGCUCGUAGUUGGAUUUCUGGUAGGAGUGACCGUUCCGAACUUGAUUGUUCGUGUAUUGUGUUUUCUCCAGCCAUCCUUGUGGAGAACUUUUCUUGCAUUAAUUUGUAGGGAUUGGGACCCGCAUCGUUUACUGUGAAAAAAUUAGAGCGUUUAAAGCAGGCAAUCGCUUGAAUACAUUAGCAUGGAAUAAUAAGAUAGGACUUUGGUACUAUUUUGUUGGUUUGCAUACCAAAUUAAUGAUCAACAGGAACAGUUUGAGGAUAUUCGUAUGAACAUGUCAGAGGUGAAAUUCUUGGAUUUUGAUCAGACGAACUACUGCGAAAGCAUUUAUCAAGGAUGUUUUCAUUAA